rnacentral:rRNA from 1 species
GACGAACGCUGGCGGCGCGCCUAACACAUGCAAGUCGAGCGAUGAAAUUUUAACCGAUCUCUUCGGAGAGAAGAUAAAAUGGAUUAGCGGCGGACGGGUGAGUAACACGUUAGAAACCUGCUUUUCACAAGGGGAUAGCCCCGGGAAACCGGGAUUAAUACCCUAUGACACAUUUCCUUCGCAUGGAAGAAAUGCUAAAACUCCGGUGGUGAACGAUGGUCCGGCACCUGAUUAGCAAGUUGGGGGGGUAACGGCCCACCAAGGCCAUGAUGACUAACCGGGCUGUGAGGGUGAGCGGUCACACUGGAACGAAGACGCGGUCCAAACUCUUACGGGAGGCGGCAGUGGGGAAUAUUGCAAAAUGGAGGAAGCUCUGAUGCAGCGACGACGCGUGAGCGAUGAAGGCUUGCGAGUCGUAAAGCUCUGUCCUAUGGGAAGAUAAUGACGGUACCAUAGGAGGAAGCCCCGGCUAACUACGUG